rnacentral:rRNA from 1 species
AUGCUUACGUGCAGAAGAAGAAUAGGGAGAGAGGUGAGGGUGAAGAGUCGCUCAAUACCUUCACGGGAUGAUGUCUCUCCCGCAAGUCAAAGAAACUGGAAGGGGGGGUGGGUCAACCCAAGGGCUGGGUUGAGGAUUGAUGCAUAUAAUGGGAAGUUCAAGGAGUGCAACGGGCCCAACUCUGAUCCAGCCUCACAUGACAUUGAUGUUACGGUUUCCCUCAAGUCGGGACAAGGCAAGAAGCGUGGGCGGUUAUAUGUUGGUGACGGUUCCAUCCGUAAGAAGGACAUUCCAAAACUUGCCCAUCUCCGUGCUACCACGUCGAGCUCAGGUCCUGCUAUUGAGCGUCGCCCAGAGCCUGGGCUGCACAUGAUGCAUCAAUUCCAUGCUCGCCUAGAGGAAGAAAGCAGGUUGCGGCAGGAAGAAACCAGGUUGCGGCUGGAGGCUCAGGCCAAUGCCCUACUUCAACAGGAGCAAGCCAUGAAAAUGCAGCAAGCCCUGUUUCAGCAGCAGGAAUUCAUGGUUAAACAGCAGGCGGCCCUGCAGGAGACGUUCGCUCGGUUCAGUACUAAUAUGCAGGGUUCUACUUUGCGGAUCUUCCUCCUGUUCCGCCGCUUCCUACUUUUAGCUUUUGUCCUCGAUCGGGAGAAGACUCCAAUAACUUUGUGGUAG